UGAGGAAUAUUGGGCAAUGCCCGCAAGGGUGACCCAGCAACGCCGCGUGGAGGAUGAAUGUCGUAAGAUUGUAAACUCCUGUUAGAGGGGAAGAAUAGUACCGGUUGGACCGGUAUAUGACUGUACCCUCAGAGAAAGCCCCGGCUAACUACGUGCCAGCAGCCGCGGUAAUACGUAGGGGCCAAGCGUUGUCCGGAUUUACUGGGUGUAAAGGGCGCGCAGGCGGGAUAAAAAGUCAGUGGUGAAAUCCUACAGCUUAACUGUAGAACUGCCUUUGAUACUUUUAUUCUUGAGUUCGGGAGAGAGAGACGGAAUUCCAGGUGUAGUGGUGAAAUACGUAGAUAUCUGGAAGAACACCAGUUGCGAAGGCGGUCUCUUGGUCCGACACUGACGCUGAGGCGCGAAAGCGUGGGGAGCAAACA
rnacentral:rRNA from 1 species